GCCUGGGUGGCUCAGUCGGUUAAGCGUCUGACUUCAGCUUAGGCCGUGAUCUCGCAGUUUUGUGAGUUCGAGUCCCACAUCAGGCU
rnacentral:tRNA from 1 species